rnacentral:rRNA from 1 species
AGGAGGUUGGCUUAGAAGCAGCCACCCUUUAAAGAGUGCGUAACAGCUCACUAGUCGAGGAGUCCUGCGCCGAAAAUGUAACGGGGCUAAAGUUCACCACCGAAGCCGCGGGAUUCGUCGCGAUAAAAUCAAGACGGAUCGGUAGGGGAGCGUUGCCAGGGCGUCGAAGCAGGCGUGUAAACUCCUGUGGAGCGCUGGGAAGUGAGAAUGCCGGCAUGAGUAGCGACAAUCCUGGUGAGAAUCCAGGACACCGAAAGCAUAAGGUUUCCUACGCAAUGCUGAUCAGCGUAGGGUAAGUCGGGCCUAAGCUAUAGCGUACAAGCGAAAGCGAUGGACAACGGGUCAAAAUUCCCGUACCACUGAUUUCUCGUUUUAACGCAAAGGAGGGACACGGACAGGUAGGCGAAGCGUGCCCAUCGGACAUGGUGCGUUGGGCCCUGAAGGCCAUGCCAGGAUAGGAAAAUCCGUUCUGGCGCAAGAGCUGAGGGGGUCUAAAACUUUAGGGCCAGAGCCCUGGAGGAUUCCGCCGAUCCUAUGCCGUCGAGAAAAGCUUCGUUGCAAGAGAUUUUGGUGACCGUACCGCAAACCGACACAGGUAGGCAGGGGUAAAUGUCCCCAGGUGAACGAGAGAACCCUCGUUAAGGAACUCGACAACUUGACCCUGUAACUUAGGAAUAAAGGGUGCCCAUGGGGUGAAGUCCGCAUGCCGGACCAGCCUUUGUGGGCUUCAAUUAACAGGCCCAGGCGACUGUUUAUCAAAAACACAGGUCUCUGCAAAACCGAAAGGUGAAGUAUAGGGGCUGACGCCUGCCCAGUGCCGGAAGGUUAAGAGGAUUUGUUCGAACACUUCGGUGUUCAAAGCUCAGAAUCGAAGCCCCGGUGAACGGCGGCCGUAACUAUAACGGUCCUAAGGUAGCGAAAUCCCUUGUCGGGUAAGUUCCGACCCGCACGAAUGGCGUAACGACCUGGGCGUUGUCUCAACGAGGGGCUCGGUGAAAUUGCAAGGCCAGUGAAGAUGCUGGCUACCCGCGACAGGACAAAAAGACCCCGUGGAGCUUUACUAUAGCUUGGCAGUGGACUGGGAUUAUAAAUGUGUAGGAUAGGCGGGAGACUGUGAAACCUUGACGCCAGUCAGGGUGGAGUCAACCUUGAAAUACCGCUCUUUUAUUGUUUCGGCCCUAAUCCGUCGAAAAACGGAGACCCUGCCAGGUGGGCAGUUUGACUGGGGCGGUCGCCUCCUAAA